rnacentral:lncRNA from 1 species
AGAUGCACUCACUGAAAUGUUCAGUCAAAUGAGGCCAAAUAUAGUAGCCCUGGAAGAGCCAGUAAUUGGCAAAAAAGUAAUCAAAGAGUUUUAAAUGAAUUGUAAGCAACAAAGACAAAUGGCCGAUGUUCAGGCCUUCAAAGCUAAAUUAAUGGCUUUCAAUACAGAAUGUAAAGACAAGACGAAAGAAGAAGCAGCCUUGAAAGCAUUGGGAGACAAAUUGGCAGUGUUCGAGUUGGAACAAAGUAUUGGCC